rnacentral:lncRNA from 1 species
UUUUUUUUUUUUUAAUUUGGCUCUAGACUAAAUAUAUACUCAAGUAACAUUCAAUUAUUUCAAAAUAUAUUCAGAUAACUUUUCUGGUUUAUUUGUUUACAAACUUACUUGUUCCCUGAGGUCUCAGCUCUCAUGUGCUCCAGCAGCAGGUAGACAGCUAUGCUGCAGGAGGGGAGAGGAGAGGAGAGGAAAGAGGAGCAACACAGCAACACCUCAAUGGCACAACCCAGUGAAACCUGGACUGCAAACCAGAAAUUCAGUGCACAGAAAUGGUUUUUCUCAGAGUUGUGUACUCUUCCCACAGCUUUCAGUGAAGAAAAAAAAAAAAAUCCUAAUUCAAGAUACAAAGAAAAUACGUAUUAAACAGCUACCAAAUUUAUUCUGCUAAUGAAACCUGUAUUUUAAAGAGAUGAAGAAUAUGGAGCUAGCUAGUAUUAUGUUACACUCUGCUUGACCAUUUAACUGAUUUACAGAUCCACCUAGUGAAAAAGCACGAGUUCAUUUAGUAAAAUGUAUGCAUUAGAUUAACAAUCAAGAAAAGGCUAAAAUUAAAAUGAAGGAUGAGGAGAACAUUAACAAUAGGCAUUUUCAAGAGUGGAAAAUGCUGGGUAAAGCAGUUAUAUAGUGGAAAUGCAGGAAAUCAGUGGUUUAAUUUCUUGGGAUUGGGCAUGUUCAGAUCCCACACAGUCUGAGCUGUAUUUUUUAACAAGCUGAUACAUUUUCUGUCUGAUCAUUAUGGAUUUUGACAACGUCAUUUUGGAACCUUGGUUACUAAGAUAUCAAUAAUUAAAUGCUUUCACACUUCACUCUUGUGGAUAUUGGCAACUUAUCUUUGUCCUUUGAAGAAGCUAAUGGUAAAAUGGGCAAAACAUCAAGAAUAAUUAAAGAAAAUGCUGGUAUAAACUCCAUCAGAAAAAAAUACAACUUUGUGCAUGGCUUGGUAUCUCACAGCCUGCACUUAGUUUUAAAAUUAGGGAAAGGUAUUUCUUUCUGGUACCUCUUAACUGUGUUUUGUCUGUGUUUAGAGAGGAAAGUACAUGCCGUAAUUAAUGAUUUAAUAGCCUCUAUGUGUAGUCUCAUUUUCUAGUUAAAAGAAUAACUAGCUGAAACAGCAGUAGCCCAUUACAAAAAGCAUCCUUCUCCUUUUGUUAUUUUCUGUAGAAAUGCUCCCUGUAACACAGCACCGCUGAAAGUCACAAGCCUUGAUUUGCACAAAAGAUACUGCAACCCAGUGACAUCUUGGAGAGGAGGGGUGGGAGAGGAGGAAUUAAUUUUAAAGAGCACGAAGUC